rnacentral:lncRNA from 10 species
UGGUAAGGAAGAGAUUAUGGACAGCAUCACUGGCUCCGGGGCUGUGAAGGUCACAGGGUUCAGUUUGGGCCAACACCCUCAUUGCACAGAUGGGGAAACCAGGGCCAGGAGGCACUGUAGUUUGCCCAAGGGAAAAGAGGGCAGGGCUAGGGGUAGGAAUCUGGAAGGCCUAGAGCCAGCAUCACAGCAUUCUUGUCUGAGCAGCCCUUGGAGGGCCCUGCUGCAUUCCAGUGGGGGCCACCCAGCUCCUGAGAAGCAGCCCAGCAGAGUACGCUCUUACCAGCCAGGUGGGAAAGAGGCCAAAAGCCUCCAAGGCCCUUCUCCAUGCUCCAGCCAAGCUCAGCCUGGAGAUAGGUAAGGGGAGUGGAGGAGCAGCCUCUCAGAUGGGGAGGGAAGGGUUUGUGUCUUGGUCUCUAGAACCUCCCCAGCCCCAGGCCUUCUCCUGAACACCCACUAUGCACUCUGUUGGUGUCACUCUGAAUGGAGAAAGAAUUGACUUUCAUCGUUGUGGUACCAUGAUGCACAAAUUGUAUACUUCACCUCUCUGGCUGCUCAAAAUAAUCUGUGUCUUGCAUGAUAGUGGUCCUAAUUUACAGAUGAGAAUACAGCUUAGUCAGAGAUGGAGCUGGCCAUGCUUUCCCCUGCACCAGUGGUUCUCAGACUCAGCUGCUCCUUGGAAACACCUAGGGCCCAUGUCACCCCCAGAGAUUCUCAUGUACCUGGGACUGGGUGCAGCCUAGGCAUUUAACGGUUUCAAAAUUUCCCAGGUGGUUCCAACAUACAACCAUGUUUGGAAAAUAAUUGCCCACACGGCAUGGGGUUAACAUGUUAUUCAGCUGGCUGUGAUUCAGCUGGCUCUCCAGUGCUGUGGAAACAGACAGAUGCUGGGCCACGCCCAUCAGGUCCAGGUCACUCCAUUCGCCCCUCUGACCUUCCGUGCCCCUCUUGGGGCCCUCAGCAGGCAUGUCCUCACGGUACUGCCCUUGGUGUGGUGGCACUUCCGCUUGACCCAGCAGUCUCAACACCAUUUAUUAACUAUCUCUGCCCCCGCCACUGUAAUGUACAAGUGCUUCUUUAUCAUAUAUGAAAGUUCUUAUCCGUAGCAGCGUUUACUUUUGAACUCUGCUCUAUCCCAAAUUGAUAUGCAAAUGUCAAUUUGCAUAUUUUUGUGUCAGGAAUCUUUUUUUUUUCCUUUGGGAGACAGAGUCUCACUCUGUCCCCCAGGCUGGAGUGUAGUGGUGGGAUCUCGGCUCACUGCAAACUCUGUGUCCCGGGUUCAAGCGAUUCUUAAACCUCAGCCUGUCGAGCAGCUGGGAUUACAGGACCCGACCAUCAUGCCCAGCUAAUUUUUGUAUUUUUAGUAGAGACGGGGGAUUCACC